UACGGGGCAGCAGUGGGGAAUAUUGCACAAUGGGCGCAAGCCUGAUGCAGCCAUGCCGCGUGUAUGAAGAAGGCCUUCGGGUUGUAAAGUACUUUCAGUCGUGAGGAAGGUGUUAAGGUUAAUAACCUUAGCAAUUGACGUUAGCGACAGAAGAAGCACCGGCUAACUCCGUGCCAGCAGCCGCGGUAAUACGGAGGGUGCGAGCGUUAAUCGGAAUUACUGGGCGUAAAGGGCACGCAGGCGGUUAAUUAAGUUGGAUGUGAAAUCCCCGGGCUUAACCUGGGAAUGGCAUUCAAGACUGGUUAGCUAGAGUCUUGUAGAGGGGGUAGAAUUCCAUGUGUAGCGGUGAAAUGCGUAGAGAUGUGGAGGAAUACCGGUGGCGAAGGCGGCCCCUGGACAAAGACUGACGCUCAUGUGCGAAAGCGUGGGGAGCGAAACAGGGAUUAGAUACC
rnacentral:rRNA from 1 species